CGGGAAAAGCUCAAAUUUAAAAUCUGGCAGUCUUUGGCUGUCCGAGUUGUAAUCUAGAGAAGCAUUAUCCGCGCUGGACCGUGUACAAGUCUCUUGGAACAGAACGUCAAAGAGGGUGAGAAUCCCGUCUU
rnacentral:rRNA from 1 species